rnacentral:misc_RNA from 1 species
UGGUAACUUAGCAUUGGAUCAACGGGAGGUAGUAAUUUCAGCCGGUAGGUUGCUGCAGGCAAUGGUGGAUGUCAUUUCAAGCAAUGGUUGGCUCAGCCUUGCCCUUCUUGCAAUGGAAGUUAGCCAGAUGGUAACCCAAGGCUUGUGGGAGCGGGAUUCCAUGCUCCUUCAGCUGCCACAUUUCACGAAGGAGCUAGCCAAGAGAUGCCAAGAGAACCCUGGAAAUAAAAUAGAGACAGUAUUUGACCUGGUGGAAAUGGAGGACGAGGAAAGGCGUGAACUACUUCAGAUGUCAGAUUCUCAGUUGUUGGAUAUUGCAUGCUUUUGCAAUCGGUUCCCAAAUAUUGACAUGGCAUAUGAGGUAGUGGAUGGUGAGAAUGUUGCAGCAGGGGAGAGCAU